rnacentral:ncRNA from 1 species
CGGCAGCAUCAAGAGUCGGGACGACGCCCGACACCAACCUGCUCCCGAGCAAGGUGGUGCCUCCAUGCAGAUGGAGGGAUGUGGCCGGACCGGCAACCAACGGGAUCACG